rnacentral:rRNA from 1 species
AAUUACAACUUUCAACAACGGAUCUCUUGGUUCUGGCAUCGAUGAAGAACGCAGCGAAAUGCGAUAAGUAAUGUGAAUUGCAGAAUUCAGUGAAUCAUCGAAUCUUUGAACGCACAUUGCGCCCUUUGGUAUUCCGAAGGGCAUGCCUGUUCGAGCGUCAUU